rnacentral:rRNA from 1 species
CCUUGUACACACCGCCCGUCACACCAUGGGAGUUGGCUCUACCCGAAGACGGUGUGCUAACCCGAAAGGGAGGCAGCCGGCCACGGUCGGGUCAGCGACUGGGGUG